GAUGAACGCUAGCUACAGGCUUAACACAUGCAAGUCGAGGGGAAACGACAUUGAAGCUUGCUUCGAUGGUCGUCGACCGGCGCACGGGUGAGUAACGCGUAUCCAACCUGCCUCUGACCAAGGGAUAACCCGUCGAAAGUCGGCCUAAUACCUUAUGCAGUCGUCGGAAGUCAUCUGAUGACGACGAAAGAUUUCAUCGGUGAGAGAUGGGGAUGCGUCUGAUUAGCUUGUUGGCGGGGUAACGGCCCACCAAGGCAACGAUCAGUAGGGGUUCUGAGAGGAAGGUCCCCCACAUUGGAACUGAGACACGGUCCAAACUCCUACGGGAGGCAGCAGUGAGGAAUAUUGGUCAAUGGGCGAGAGCCUGAACCAGCCAAGUAGCGUGCAGGAUGGCGGCCCUAUGGGUUGUAAACUGCUUUUAUGCGGGGAUAAAGUGAGGGACGUGUCCUUCAUUGCAGGUACCGCAUGAAUAAGGACCGGCUAAUUCCGUG
rnacentral:rRNA from 1 species